ensembl:lncRNA
AUGGGGGGGGGCUGGGCCCAGCGGGGGAACUGGACUAGGCCAAGGUGGACGUGAAGGUUAGGGGAUGAUUCGAAUUACGGGGUCCGACCCUCUGAUUAGGGCUUGGAGCACACUAAUUAAGGCUUGAACCCCCCCCCCCAUUACAGUAUAUUCCCCACUUGAAUUCCCCAGCGGGUACCGUGCAAGAUUGUGCAGAGUUGUUGACUACCUUCAUAUCGACACUCCUUAUAUCCCGAGACCUGAUGACCUUCAAGAACGCAUCUAGGGAGAGAGAGAGCGAGAGACCUUCACAGAACAACGAUCAGCCUUACCAUAUGCUUGAGGGAGAGAAAAACAGGAGAUGGGUGGUGCCUUUAUGAUGUGAUGAAGUGCGUCAACGGUCCAAAGGAGCCCGGGAUUGCAGAUCUAUGUCUGUUGAACAACAACAAUCAAAAAAACAAGGACAAGCCCACGUCUCACACCAAACAAUGAACCUGAUUCAAAGAUCAGUGGGAUGUUGCUGGCGGCGGCGGCACCAUCCAAUGAACAAUAACAAAUCUCCUAAGACGAUUCCUGCCUAUGAAACAUACUCCCUCCACCAUCCAUAGUACAUGGAUCCCUUAGUUAGUACCAUAAUGGUCUUCUCGGCGCAGGGUCGACAGUUAAAUAUGCUAUAGUUUACGCCGUGCGUAUAGAACUAUAGUUUAUUCACUUUGAAUCCGUCUCUUAUCGUCGGCACACCGUGGUAGUUUGUGACAACGCUGAGCUGUUUUGUUUGGAACAGCGUGUGCUGCUAGCUGUGGCAGAGGGUGGUGCAUGUGAUGGAUCGCCAAUGAAUUGCUUUUCCAGGGACGCAGUGGGACAUUCAGAGAACUUUGGGAUAUUAGCAGAUAAAGUGCGUGCUGUUUUUGCGGUUGUUAUUCUGGAGUUUUCUGACUUGAUCCCCCCCCGCCUACCCCGGACACAUUCUUAAAGAGGUUUGAGGAAGUUUGAUGGUCCCGGGGAACAUUUAAUAGGGUUCUGUAAUCUGAAGCACAUCCGUUGCUUCCUUGGUGUUGGAUAAAACAUUUCUUCUAUUUUUACUUGAAUUUUUUUUUCUAAUAAAGUACAAAUGAUGAUAUUCACAAGUUCUACCGGUUUUCAAUGUUGCAAACAGCAUUUAUUCUUCAUUAUUUAUGAUGAAUAAUUACUAGUGGUUAGACUAGAACAUUUCAAAGGCAUUACAACUGUCACAGUCUAAUUCAACAGUAGUUUUGUGUUAUUUACACUGAAAUGAGGAUACUUUCUGCAUGAUUUAACAUCAAUGAGGUGGCUUUGGCCCCCUGCUGUGAUAAGGAUCCCCCCCGGAGAAUCUUGUGGAGGGUCUUUCAAAAAUAAACUACUUACAAGCAAGGUUAGUCAGUAUGUUGUUGAUAAUGUAAACGCAGGAAGUGAUCU